AGUGGGUCAGCUGGAAACCCUGCAGGCAAUCACAGCUCUCAGCUUCUUUUCUCACAACAUCCAUCACCGACUCCAUCAGCUCCACGCCUUCUGUAUAGUACCCCUUGGCCCAGUUGUUCCUGGCCCCACACUGACCAAAGUUGAAGUUGUCUGGCCCAAAGAUCUGCCCGAAGGGCCCUAAGCUCACAGAGUCCAUGGUGCCUGGAUCCAGAUCCAUGAGCACAGCGCGGGCCACGUACCUGCCACCACUAGCCUCUUUGUAGUACACAAUGAUGCGUUCUAGCUGCACGUCACAGAAGGUGUGACCCAAACCAAGAGUAAAGAACGGCAAGCCAUCCAGAUCACCAUGCUGUUCACAGACAAUGGGACCUUCGAGACGGUGUGGCAGGUCAAGUUCUAUAAUUGCCACAAGCGGGAUCACUGCCAGUGGGAAAGCCCCUUCUCCGUCAUUGAGUAUGAAUGCAAGCCCAAUGAGACAUGCAGCCUGAUGUGGGUGAACAAGGAGUCCUUCCUGUGAAAGUGGCCCUUUCUGAUGCUGCUGGACAAUCUUUUAAGAAACCUACUUUUAGAUAAACCAGCAAAAGCCUUAAACAAGGCAUGCCACACCAUUGCUGUUCCCCAUCUGGUACUGAUGACUUACUAGCCCUGGUUAUUUUGAAAGUGUAAUUCCCCUCUGAUCCAAUAUUCUUCACGUACAAGAUGAUAUGUACCACCCCCAAGAGUAUUUCCAUCUGUAUUUUGUGAUGGUGUUCCUGAAUCCAGUUGUUCUCGGUCAUGCUAUUGACCACUCGUGACUGCAGUUCAGUGGAACUGGCAGGCUUGUCCUACUCUUGACCAUUCUACUGACUGACCUUGGUGUUUUGUUUCCAAGUGAAGUGAUUCCUUCUUUUUUUUCCCAAUGUUAAAUUUAAAAAUAACGAUGUGUAUGGGUCCUCCCAUGUGUAAUAUGGUUAUAUGUAACUUGCAGUGUUUGUCAGCUUUCAAAGCAGGCUUUGUGAAAAUAUGAUGCAAACAGCAGUGAAUGGGACUCAAAUGUGUGCUUCCUAUAAACAGCUCAGCUUUUUAAUGAAAGGAUGAUAACAAACUAAAAGGACAAACAGGUAUGUAUUUACAACGUAUUAAAACUCUUUUAAGUAACUUAAGAGUUACUUAAAGUAUUGUGCAAUGGCCUAGUAGAAAUGGGGGAAAAGCAUUUGCUGUGGACCACCAUCAAAGUGACAGGAGUUGUAAGGUUACCCCUUUGACAAGCUUCCAUAGUCUUCAGACAUCCACACUUAUGGCAUCCCUACAUUCUUCUUCACUUGAACUUUGUAAAACUGUGUAUGGACCUGUAAUCAACUUUUGAUAUUUCUUAAUAAAGACAUUGAAAAAAGAAAAAAAAGAGUGGUCAGAGCCGUGCUCCUGCCGAGGGUCUGCUGAGUGAUAGCAGCUGCUCCACUGCGGACGCCGCGCCAUGGCGGAAGAGGAGCUGGAGGCGCUGAGAAGGCAGAGGCUGGCCGAUCUACAGGCCAAGCAUGGGGAUCCUGGUGAUGUGGCACAACAGGAAGCAAAGCACAGGGAAGCAGAGAUGAGAAACAAUAUUUUAGCCCAAGUACUGGAUCAGUCAGCCCGGGUCAGGUUAAGUAACUUGGCACUUGUAAAGCCUGAAAGAACUAAAGCAGUAGAGAAUUACCUUAUACAGAUGGCAAGAUAUGGACAAAUAAGUGAGAAGGUAUCAGAACAAGGUUUAAUAGAAAUCCUUUAAAAAGUAAGCCAGCGAACAGAAAAGACAACAACAGUGAAAUUCAACAGAAGAAAGGUAAUGGACUCUGAUGAAGAUGAUGAUUAUUGAACUAAAAGUGCUUACAGACUAGAACUUAACAGAACAAUUCUAGGACAGAAGUUAAGAUCUGAUUAUUUACUUUGUUUAUUGUCUAUAGGCCUUUAAAAAAAUAAACUUGUUAUGCAAAAU